CCUACGGGUGGCUGCAGUGGGGGAUAUUGCACAAUGGGGGGAACCCUGAUGCAGCGACGCCGCGUGGGUGAAGGAGUGCUUCGGCAUGUAAAGCUCUAUCGGCAGGGAAGAAGCAAGACGGUACCUGACUAAGAAGCCCAGGCUAACUACGUGCCAGCAGCCGCGGUAAUACGAAGGGGGCGAGCGUUAUCCGGAUUCACUGGGUGUAUAGGGAGCGUAGACGGCCAUGCAAGCCAGGGGUGAAAGCCCGGGGCGAAACCCCGAGAAUGCCCUUGGAACUGGAAGGCUGGAGUGCGGGAGGGGCAGGCGGAAAUCCUGGUGUAGCGGUGAAAUGCGGAGAUAUCAGGAAGAACGCCGGCGGCGAAGGCGGCCUGCUGGACCGCAACUGACGUUGAGGCUCGAAAGCGUGGGGAGCGAACAGGAUUAGAUACCCCAGUAGUC
rnacentral:rRNA from 1 species